rnacentral:lncRNA from 1 species
AGAUAUUAAAAAAUCGAUCAUAUCGUGAUAACGAUUUUAUUGGAAUAUGUUUUUGUUUCGGUAGACAUGUCUAACAUUUGGUGCUUUCAUAAGAUAAACACUGGCAAUGUUUUGAAUUUGACAUAGGUAACAAUUUAUUUAAAAAUAAACCAUUUAUCCGCUAUUUCAUUUACUUUAAAAAAAAUCAUAACUAAAAAACAGGCAAAGGAUACCCAGAGGACAUAAAAACCCACAAGUCGAAAAUAAACUGACUAAGCCAUGGCUAAAAAAGAAAACAAAAAAACACUCUGAAAACAGUAAACAUUACAGAAGAAUAAAAAAACGUAGACAAUUUCAUCUAACCUUUACAACAUACCCAAUUUAAUAACCAUACUCUAUCGAUGUACUCUUCGAUUCUAUUAUAUAAGUGCAUUAAUUUUAAAGCAAUGUACUGAUUCGUUCAUUCAAAUAAAGCAGUCAAUAUAAAAGUUUCGACACCAUUCAAACUCUGGUUCAUGGACAUUUUUAUAAAACUUAAGCUUAUGAUCGAAGAGAUUUGCAGAAGGCUUAUUCUCUUUGGUAAAGUGCUACCCAAAGUAUUUUUUCGUGAAAGCAGCAUACCAUCCGUAUAUACAUUGGACAUCCGUUCUGUCCGGACAUCUUUUUUUUUUUCAUCCGUUAGGCGUCCGUUCGUGCUAUCCGGUAAGGUGUGACCGAAGCACGAACGGACGUCUAACGAAUGAAAAUAAAAGUUGUCCGUUGACAGAAUUGUUAUCCGUUGGGAGUCCGUUGAUGUACUGACCGAAUACAGCGGACGUGUAACAGAUGCCUUACGGACACAUACCGGAUAUGCAAAGUACGAGAAACGGAAACGUACCGGACAG